UUCCGGUUGAUCCUGCCGGAAGUUACUGCUAUUGGAAUUCGAUUUAGACAUGCGAGUCUUUGAGCAAUCAAGGCGAACUGCUGAGUAACACGUAGCUAACCUACCCUAAUGUCAAGGAUAACCUCGAGAAAUUGAGGAUAAUACUUGAUAGAUGAUACUGCCUGGAAGGGUUUAUCUUUCAAAACUUCGGUGCAUUAGGAUGGGGCUGCGGUGGAUUAGGCUGAUGUUGAGGUAAAUGCUCAACAUACCUAUAAUCUAUAGGGGUUGUGAGAGCAAUAGCCCCCAGAUGGGUUCUGAGAUAUUAACCCAGGUCCUACGGGACGCAGCAGUUACGAAAACUUCACAAUGCGCGCAAGCGUGAUGAGGGAAUUCCAAGUGCUGGUGUUUUUACAUCAGCUUUUCUAGAGUUUAAACUGCUAUAGGAAUAAGUGGUGGGUAAGACCGUUGCCAGCCGCCGCGGUAAUAACGGCGCCACAAGUGGUAACCAUGAAUAUUGGGUCUAAAGCAUUCGUAGCCGGUUUAUUAAGUCUCUUGUGAAAUCUUGUAGAAGACUGCAAGGCGUGCAGGAGAUACUGAUAAACUUGGGACUGGGAGGAGCUAGAGGUACUCCUAGGGUAGGGGUGGAAUCCUAUAAUCCUAGGGGGACCACCUGUGGCGAAGGCGUCUAGCUAGAACGGUUCCGACGGUGAUGGAUGAAAAGCUAGGGGAGCAAAGCGGAUUACAUACCCGUGUAGUCCUAGCUGUAACGAUGCCCGUUAGGUAUUGAAUGUUCCUAGAGAAUAUUCAGAGUCGUAGGAAGCCAUUAAACGGGCCACCUGGGAAGUACAGCCCAAGGCCUAAACUUAAAGAAUUGGCGGGCGAACCACUACACGGGUGCAGUCUGCGGUCAAUUGAAUCACGCCGGU
rnacentral:rRNA from 1 species